AAGGAGUGUGUAACAACUCACCUGCC
rnacentral:ncRNA from 9 species